rnacentral:pre_miRNA from 1 species
AUUAGCAACUGCUGCACUGGUUAUCUCUCUCGUCUAUGUUGCAGAUUCUUCAUUUGCAAAACUGAUCAUAGAAGUUAAGUGAAAGAAGGAUCUGCAACAUAUACAAGAACGGAUAAUCGGAUGUGAUGAUGAGC